UUAUAAGAGACAGCAGUCGCCGCGGUAAUACCGAGGGUGCGAGCGUUAAUCGGAUUUACUGGGCGUAAAGCGUGCGUAGGCGGCUUUUUAAGUCGGAUGUGAAAUCCCUGAGCUUAACUUAGGAAUUGCAUUCGAUACUGGGAAGCUAGAGUAUGGGAGAGGAUGGUAGAAUUCCAGGUGUAGCGGUGAAAUGCGUAGAGAUCUGGAGGAAUACCGAUGGCGAAGGCAGCCAUCUGGCCUAAUACUGACGCUGAGGUACGAAAGCAUGGGGAGCAAACAGGAUUAGAUACCCCGGUAGUCCCUGUCUCUUAUAC
rnacentral:rRNA from 1 species